AUGUUACACAUCUCACACUAUUCUGUGCUUUUCUUUGUGGGACUGGGGGGCGAAGUCCAGGUUUUGUGUUUAUUUGAAACUGUGGCUAAUAAUAAUAAUAAUAAUAAUGCAGAUAUGCUAUUAAAUAUAUUACACUGCCUAAAACUGUGUCAUUAUAUGAAGGUAGUUCUUGCAUAUUUUUGUAAAACCUACUGAUUCUUACAAAAACACCGGAAUGUUUAAGAACCCCUAGUUUGCUUCUAUCAUCAGGAUUACUUUACUGUUAACAAGACUGUGAUCAUCAGAUGACUGCAAUGGGUUGACUGUUCCUGUACCAGCAUCUACUACGUGGGCAAACACUGAACAAAAACAAGGUGUUGGCUAUAUUUUCAUUUUAAUCACAAUCAUCUCGAUUAGGGGUUCACAUCACUCUGGGAUGGUUGUCAUUGCUUUAUUUCACUAAAACUAUAGUGAUCUUGUCUCCACGUUUUGACCACAAAGAUAUUACCAGCAUAUCAUUAUUAAAAAUUUAUUGUAGACAUUGCCUCAAAGAAAGUUACCUGGAUUGUAUCUCCACCCACUGGGGGGCCACUAGGUGAAUGACUAUUUAGUUAAGAUUCCUAUGUAUUCCUAUGUAUUCACUUGUAUUUUCAUCACAAUAUUUAUAAUCCUGGGUUUGAGACCCAAAUAUAUUUAUAGUAAUUGAAGUUCUAUAAGUAUUCUUGUUAUAACCCAGCAUCGAUAUGCUAUGCAUCUACAAAACAGAUUGACUAUAUAUGCAUUUGUUCAUGUAUAUUUUAAAAAUAAACCACAGAAAUGAAUAAAGUACUCUACACAAUAAAGUUUCACAGUUUGACUUUCCAUAAGGCUUAUGAAAUAAUAUGUAAAUAGCUACCAUUCUGCUGAAAUGUCACAGUAAAUACAUUAAUAAUGGCACAGAAGUGAAAUGUCUCCAAAUAGGAAGCCAUAUUUAUGAUCUCCUAAGUCUCUUUUCCAACUAAAUUUUUGCCUUUUUUUAGUUGAAAAAGAGUUCCAUUUCUGAAAGAAUAUAAAAAUAGAAAAUGAGUCAAAGAAUCUUUUACACAUAAUUUUGAAGGACAAGCUAUAAACAUCAGAUGACAUAUUAUAU
rnacentral:lncRNA from 1 species